rfam:Picea glauca, whole genome shotgun sequence.
ACAUGCCUACAACAUAGCAUUAAUUCACUCGAUCCAAUUAGAACUCCCCAGUUAAGUGCACUUGGGCUAGAGUAGUACUGGGAUGGGUGACUGCUCGGGAAGUCCUAGUGUUUUACAUGCC